rnacentral:rRNA from 1 species
UACGUAGCAGCAAGCGUUGUUCGGAAUACUGGGCGUAAAGCGUGCGCAGGCGGUGAUGUAAGACAGAUGUGAAAUCCCCGGGCUCAACCUGGGAACUGCAUUUGUGACUGCAUCGCUGGAGUACGGCAGAGGGGGAUGGAAUUCCGGCGUGUAGCAGUGAAAUGCGUAGAUAUGCGGAGGAACACCGGAUGGCGAAGGCAUCCCCUGGGCCUGUACUGACGCUCAGUGCACG